GAAGUGCAUACAUUAUUCUUGAGUAAUUUCUUCUGGUAUCCAUACCAUAGUUAGUUAAUUCGGAUUCGACAAAAAUUCGGUACGGACAUAAUACGUAUAAAAUUUGUUUUCUAAUUUUUAAAUUCGUUGAAAAAUUCGGCUUAAAAAACGGAUUCGGUAUAAAAUAUAAAAUAUAAGAUAUAAAAUAUAAAAUAAUUUAUAUUUAAAAAUAAAAUUAUAAGUUUUUUAUUCAUAUUUUCAAUAAUUCGGCAAUAAUUCGCGAAUUAUUAGCGAAUAAUUCGGCUGGCCCAAAAAUUCACGGAUAAUUCUCUUUCUUUCGGAAAAAUUUGUAAACAGACCGUUUAAUUCAGAGUUUCAAUAAUUCGCGAAUAAUUUGCGAAUUUACUAACUAGGAUCCAUACAAGCCCUAUCCUUUUUUUUUAUUUGUGGAAGAUUAUAAAUAUUAUACUAGUUAGGAGAUUUCUUUUUAAUUUUUAAUUGGAUAAAUUGCACAUUUGGCCUAAUGGAUAAUGGAUAAAAGAUUGCUCAGGACAAAUUGUGAAAAAGCAUGGGUCACAUCUUCACUUUGGAAUGUUUAACUCUUUCUUUCAAAUUUUUGUCACAUACUAGAAAAGAAAUAUUGACUCACAUCACCUCAUGAAAUUAUAUAUAUAUUCACCUCCUAUAUUAAUUUAUAUACCUGCUUAUGAGCUACACAUUUUCUAACCAUAAUUUUUGUAUGAGUUCCUAACUUUUUAGAAAAUCUUCAAACACUAUUAACUUUUCAUCUUUUCUAUUAAAUUUUCUAAGUUUUUUUUUUAAAAAAAAAACACUUGUUGAAGUUCUUGCUUAACGUAUUUUAGAGAAAUCUUAGAAUAUUGUAUUUCGAUGAAAAAUAAAAGUGCAGCUCGACACGUGGCGUAAUGUGAUCCGUCCAUAGUUUGAUAUCUCUUGAUGCGCAGACUGAAUCUGAAUAUAUUUCAGGAGUGUAUCAGAGAGAGAAUGAUCUAGUUAGGUUCAAUUCUCGAGAGAUGGUCUCGUGGUCCUCAACCAAUACCCGAAGUUCACGAACUUCGGUCUUUUAGGAUUUGACCGCUAGUCUGAGCCGAAAUUGAUUUCAAUGAAACGGCUGCACAGUAGCAGCUCUCGAGAAGAGGUUCUGUGUGGGGCAGAGCCGAAACACUAAGCUUUCGACCGCUUAAAUUUUAGCCAUUGGAUCCAGGCCGAAAUCAAGCAAUAAAAACCACUAAGGUGAGAAAGUUUUGAGAUAGAGCACAUGACGAAAGUGUGACGAGCGUUUGCCCUUUCCUUUUUGAAAUUUAAAUUUGAAAAUCAAAUUUUAAAUAGAGACUUCCCUUCUUGGACCUUGAAUGCAUAUAAAUUUGAAGAGUGAAACUAUAUUGGGAAAUUUGUGACAGAACAUAGUUAGAUUAACCUAAGGGCCCGUUUGGUUCGAGUUAUAUAAUAUUACAAAGUAUCUUGACAUAUCCAGGUAUUUUGGAUUUCGGCGUGAGAUUACUACUGAUGCUGCAUUAGCGCGUUUGGUUUAAUUCAGUAAUGUAAUACUAGAUUACAGUGUUUAUAGCAUUAAUACGUUUGGUUCAGUUUAUAAAAUUUAGUAAUCCUAACAUAAAAGUAUAGUUUUUUUUCAAAUUACCCUUGAUGUGGUCAUUUGAAUAUUAUGUUUUACGGAAAUGACGAAUGGAGGGAAGGAGAUUAUGAUGAUUACCUGGGAGGACGACACAAUAGAAGAUGAUAGGUGUUCAUGCGCGCAAGAGAGAGAGAGAGAGAGAGGCGUGCGAGAGAGAGGAGAGAAGGCGAGAGAGAGAUGAAAAUAAAGCUGUUAAUUAGAUUUGGGGUUGUUGGAGUGUCACGCCCCGGAUUACACUUUCCCCGGGCACGCCGACAAAUCCGCCGUAUACAAAGGAAUUUCCCCUGUAUACGAAGCGAUAGCUGUACCUGUAAAUCAAACACUACUACAAACAGUAGUAGAGAGCUGCUAGAGAAAACUGAAGCUAAAUAAAACAGAGUUUCAUAUACAUAGAUCAGAUCCAAAAUACAGAGCUACUCGCACUGGCGAGUUAAGUCAACUAUGUACAAAAGCUCCAAAAGAAAAAUAUCUACCUGCAGUAGGGCACCUCUAGCUCAGCACGUCGGGUAGGGCUCUAGCUCGCGACGCCCUUGCCACGAUCCUGCUCAGCAGAGGAAGCAGCAGCCUGUACCUGCGGCUCUGCAAAAUAGCGGUAAAAGAACAGGGCGUGAGAACUACUGUAAACACAAGUAGUCCUCAGUGGGCACCGCCAAAAACAAACAUCGGUCACCCACUAAGUCUACAGAAGGGAGCAAGGAUAGAAGGAAAGCAGGAAGCAUACUCUACCGCUAUCAUCCACUACACUAUCAUGCUCUACACUAACCAACUGUAGGAAAUGUCAAAUCUGACCAAUCCAAUCGGGACUGUAAGCAUACCCGUCCCGGACUGUGAAUACACCCGUCCCUGCCCUGUUGCGACUAUCGCUCUAUCCACUCUACUGUCCGUGAGAGCAAGUCCAACUGGCAUGAGCGACACCAACGCAAAAGCACAAGCCUGACUCCGGAGUGGCAGUCCGUGGGUGCUACCAACCGAGUAUGCAGCGUAUCUCUGUCGAGCUCAAUCAGCUCCAACUAGCCAAGUCAAGUAAUCGACUCUAAAUGGUCUAACACCAAACAGGUAACGUGCCCUCGCACAAUCUGACGCCAAAAAGGCGAUACGGUCCACCGUCAACUCUGAGGCACCAACAGUCCGAAACGACCUGAACGACCCUGUAAAAAUCCACUCGGCGAACCAGCACGAGUGUAAAUACAUUCUAAACUACCUGGAGUACUCGUCUCGAAGAAACGGCGACAGUACAAUUUUCUAACGGCUCCUGGAGCUAAAUCAGGUAGUAACAGUGACAGGUCCAAAUCGCAGUUUUCUCUAAUUCAAUUUCCAAGUCCAACAUGUAUAAUCUAUUUAAAUUAUAAAACAUGCUCGAGAAUUCAGAUUUUACCAAUCUAGAAUCAUUCAAGAAUUUGAGCCAAACUAGAUUACCAAAAUAGAGAUCUAUAACAUGUCGACGAUUAUGAACUUAGGAGUCGAACCGAUGUAACCCACCUAAAAUGCUAAUCCCCUGGCAGCGGUACACUCUCACAGCUGUGCGCCUCCUGCUGGGUCGACCAAAAACGCCCGAGUCUCGAAUCGAGCUAAUCCAAACUAAAACACCAAAAUUUCUCAAUUCAGUCCAAAAUUCACAGCAGAAGAGAGAAGGAUUUCGACCAAGCUAACCUUCACCAAAAUUCGCAGUAAGGCUUCGUGAUUCCUCUCGCAGUCCUGAAUCCAACGAGCCAAGUCUCGUCGCAAUCCGAUGCCUCUACGUCGAGAACGAGCCAAAAUACAAAACAGUCGACGGUGAAAUUCUGCGAAAACAGCACUUAAGCUCUAAUUUGAUGAUACUCGAAGUACUCGAAGCAAUUGCGACCAAAUGCUCACCUCAACAGCAACAAUCCUCGCGCGAUGUCCAGGACGACGAAGAUACACCCUCGCCCGGCACAUCGCAAUGCCCCGACAACAAACGCUCGCUCGAACGGCUCGCGGCGCGACGUCGGCGACGAAAUCCCCAACCGGACUCCUCCACGGUCGAACCAAGCUAGAGAGGUGAAGAGGGGAAAAGGAGCAGCAAAAGAACUUCCUCUCAUGCUCUCUACAUCAGUAUAAAAAGGUAGGUGGAGUGGUGAUACAAACGAGGGUGAAAAAUUACGAAUUUAGCCCUUACCAACUCCCUUGUACCGGUACACGGCAGAGUAAAAAUUCUGCAAUUUCGCAGAUUUUCACACAGAAAGAUGACCUCGCGUCAAACGGAGUCCGUUUCGCGUCUAUUUGACGCCAACGCAACUCGGGCUUGUCUUGACACUCUCCAGAACUGUCGACAAGUCCCCACUGACAGAAACGGGGUCUCACAUGGAGGGUAAAAUUGUCAUUUUACAUAAUAUGCAGUAUUAACUGGUUUUAGUAAUGCAAGAUACACGACCCCCCUCCCGUUAAUAUUUUUGAUGUAAUCCUGCUCGAUUUGUAAUGCUACAUUAACGACUAAAUUAUAUAGCGGAUUAACCAAACACAGUUAUCCUGGCAGGAUUGUUUGUAAUCCUGCAAGGAUAACUCGAACCAAACGCACCCUAAAAAUAUUUAGCAGGAACUUUUUGAACUAAAAAAGUCAAAACCUCAAGAACUUAAUUACAUGAAAUAUUGAUUAAAGAAUUACGAACUUCUCGCAAAUUAUUUGAAAAGCUAGGGACUUAAAUAAAAACUAUUCUUUUCCAUAUAUUGGAUAAGCAAAUAGAGCAAAUUUAAUUUAAGCUAAUGCUAAUUAUAGCUCAUAGCUCAUGCUUGUUUACAGAAGGAGUGAUCAGUAAACUAAUGAAAAGCUGAGGCUAAAAGUGUAGCUAAUUUUGUAUGAUGUGAACCUACCUUUGCAAGGAUUUAUGCUGUAGCUUCUUGGAGUCAUGGACCACUUAUGGCCUGUAUCCUUUUAGUUUAUUCAUUUGACAUGAAAAGGAGUGAUGUUAAUUCCUUAUAUUUUAGGGAAAACUUUAAAAAACCACCCUGUGGUUUCGCAUUUUCUCACUUUAGUACCCUAUGGUUUAAAGUGUAUCAAUUUGUCCCCCUGUGGUUUUGUUUUUAUCUUUUCGACAGCCUUUUCCUUAAUAUUUUGUUAAAUUAUAUACAAAAAAUUUUAGAUACCACAUCUAAAUUUAUCGAAUAUUUACUUUAGUAUCUUUUAACUUUAACUUUGUCACUGAUUUAAGAAAAAAAAAUAAUAAAAUUGAUACUAAAAAGAGAAAAACGAAACCACGGGGAGGCAAAUUGAUACACUUUAAACCACAAAGUACUAAAGUGAGACAGUGUGAAACUACAGGGGGGUUUGAAGUUUUCCCUAUAUUUUAUUC
rnacentral:lncRNA from 1 species